AAAGUAAAGAUCAGCAGACAAGAGGAAAAGUAACUGAAGAGCUGUUUCCUGUGCCUGCCCCUGAGAGCUGAUGGCUUCCCAGAGAUGCCUCACAGUCCUGCGCAGACAGAGAGAAUGCAGAAGCUGGCAAAGGAUCCUCCACACGCAAGAUCAGAGGACGUCCCAGAUCAUCUUUUCUUUGUGGAUACUGCAGCCAGGUGUACAGUAAGGAGCAGACAACAUGGCACUGGCCAAGUGGAAAGGCUGUUUGCAUAAUAAGAUUACGAUGGGGUGGCCUGCCUUCCCUGUGUGCUACGUAAACAUCACACCUGAUCCAACCAAUCUGCAGGCCCUACAUAAAUCAGACACCGCCUCCUCCAGCCUGCCUAUAAAAUCUGGUACACUCCACGUGGGCCAGAAGUCCCAUUUGGAUGCCCCUCUCUUUCGCAAGAGAGAGAGCUGUUCUCCUUUCUCUUUCUUUUGCCUAUUACAUUCCGCUCCUAAAGUCACUUCUCAUGUAUGUCCACGUCCUUAAUCUUCUUGAUGCAAGACAAUGAACCCGGGUAUUUACCCCAGACAACAACACCACUUCACUAGGAGUUAAAAGAACUUGAAAUGCAAAUUCAUGGUCAUCUGGUUCCAAAGCCCAUAUUAACAAAAUUUUUUUAAUUGUGAUAAAAUACACAUAACAUAAAGUUGACCGUGUUAACUGUUUUUAAAUGUACAGUCCAGUAGUGUUAAGUACAUUCACAUUGUUGGGCAAUCCUUCUUCAGAACUUUUUAAGUUUCCCAAACUGAAGCUCUGCGUCUAUUAAGAACAACUCUUUCUUCCAAUCCCCAGCUGUUGGCAACUAUCAUUCUACUUUCUGUCUUUAUGCAUUUAAUAAUUCUACGUACCUCAUAUAAAUGAAAUCAAAUGGUAUUUGUAACUGGCUUAUUUCACUUAGCAUAAUAUCCUCAAGAUUCAGUCAUAUUGUUAUAUGUGUCAUAAAUUGCAUUUGUAAUAUCACAAACUACACCUUGAUAUAUUGUCUACUGAUUAGCAUGGAUUUAUAAUUAUUUUUAUGCUUUGCCUUCUACAUUCUAUAAAAGAAUAAAAAGUUGAGUUAAAAACCAAAAUUAUAAUAAUGAAA
rnacentral:lncRNA from 1 species